rnacentral:tRNA from 1 species
GGUGGCUCAGUGGUAGAGCACUUGCCUUGCAUGCUUGAGGCCCUGGGUUCGAUUCCCAGCACCA